UGACAGAGACUUAGUAAUAUCCCAGAAGGGAGAAGUCAGGAGGAUACUUAUGGAAGUUAGGGUGAGGGCUGGGUAGUUUUAAGGUGGAGAACUGGUUGAGGAUUGGGCAGAAAUUAUGACAUAGUAGCUUUGGUCUGGUGAGCUCAAGUGUGGCAAGCAUAUAGUUAAUCUUGAAAUUAAACUAUUUUAGUUGGCUCGUGGUCUUGUCUUCCAGGAGAAAGUAGCUAGGUUAUUUUUGCUUUUUCUCAGUACUGGUUCACACAGAGGUAUGUCCAAUCCCAGGACUGUUUAACAUAGUGUAUGGUUGACACACCUGACAGCAAUAACUACGCAUACCCUGAUAAUGACCCUGUGUGGCAGAUGCACCUGAACGUGUGUUUGGAGUUCUGAGCUAAGGAAUCCAGGAGUGGCCAAUCCGAAGAGUCAUUCCUUAUCUAUAGAGGAACGUCUGAGCUCCCAUCCUGUCCCAUGGAACGUGGGCUGUACAGGGGAUUGAGGCCCUUUGUUUGGGAUUAAAUGAAGGUUGCCAGAUGGAGGUUAAGGGGAGGGUGUUAAGUGAAAAUGCUAUAUAAAUUGCAUGAUUUUUCUGUUUUUGUUUUUUACAAGCAGUGAUGGUUCUUCUGCCAGCCUGCCGCCAUGGGAUUGCUCUGUAUGUAAGUUUCCUGCUAAUAAAGCCCUGUCUCCUUUGCUGGCUCUGCUUCUCUUCUUCGGCCUCUUGAAACUGGUGCCAUCCCUACUGAGGUUAAUAAGGGUCCCACAUGACACAUAGGUGUGGGAAGUUUUACUAGUUUCAGUUCUCAAUGAUCAUUUAUGUCAUGAGAUUAUUGUGAGUAUGAAAUAGAAUGCUGUAUAUAAACAAGACUGGCAGUGAGUAAGUGCCUAUUAAAACAUUAGUUUCUUUUCUCUAACACAGCUGCUCCCCAACCCCUUCACCUGUAUUUUUUAAUACUGGGAUUUUAUCUAGCUAUUUUUUAUUUUCUGGGACAGAGUCUCACUCUGUCACCCAUGCUGGAGUGCAGUGGCAUUAUCUUGGCUCACUGCAACCUCAGACCCCUGGGCUCAAGUGAUCCUCCCACCUCAGCCUCCCAAGUAUCUGGGACCACAGGUGUGAGCCACCACAACUGGCUAAGUUUUGUAUUUUUGGUAGAAAUGGGGUUUCAUCAUGUUGUUCAGGCUGGUCUCCAACUCCUGAGCUCAAGCAAUCCACCCACCUUGGCCUCCCAAAUUGCUGGGAUUACGGACAUAAGCCACUGCGCUUGGCCUCAUCUGCCCAUUAAUAGCAUCUAAAUCAAUGUUAUACCACAGUAAUAGUACUAAAAAAAGUUUAAUGGGUGAAUGAAAAUCAAAAGGUAAAAUUUUUAAAAGCCAAACCAAGUACUUUGCAGGAUUUUAAUACCAGUUUAAGCCUGUAAAACCUGUUUCUUCCAAACGUAAUUAAUUAAUGUAUUGUCUUACUUAACACAACUUUCUCAUUAACUACUGCUAGAAGAAGACAGGUGCAUUCUGGAAACUUGAAUCACUAAGGGGAGGAGCUUCAAUUUUGAUCCCAGAUAUAAGAAUGUUCCUUACAGAAGAAGGAAUAUUUCCCAACUCAUUUAAUGAGGCCAACAUUAUUCUGAUACCAAAACUAUACAAAAGCAUUACAAGGAAAGAGAACUACAGACCAUUAUUCCUGAUGUACAGUUUCCUGGAGCUGAGGUGGGGUGACACAAGCACCCCUGUGACCACCACCACUGGGACAGCACUGAGUCUCACUCAAGCCUCGUGGUAACCACUGCCUGUACUGCCUGCUUUUCGUUGAAGACUUCCUUGAGUUAUCUUUUUGGUCCAUAUUACAAAGAACUUUUUGUACUCUCCCUCCUUCUACCACCUUAUGCUCCUCUCUCUUUCCCCAUUUGAUUUACCUAUUCUGCUUCUCAGCAAUUAACCUUCUUUUCUUGUAGGUACUCUGAUAUAGUUUGGAUGUUCCCUCUAAAUCUUAUAUAAUUUCCAGUGUUGGAAGUGGGCAUGGUGGGAGGUAUUUAAAUCAUGGGGGUGGAUUUCUUAUGAAUAGUUUAGCCCCAUCCACUUGGUGCUGUCUAUGUGAUAGUGAGUGAGUUCUCAUGAAAUCUGGUCUUAAAAGUGUGUGGUACCUUCCCCCUACUCUCUCUCACUUGCUCCCAUUCUCGCUAUGUGAGACUGUGUCCCCCCUUCACCUUCUGCCAUGUUUGAAAGCUCCCUGAGGCUUCACUAGAAGCCCAGCUGAUGCCAACACCAUGCUUCCUGUAAAGCCCACAGAACCAUUAGCCAAUUAAACCCCCUUUCUUUAUAAAUUACCCAGUCUCAGGUAUUUCUUUAUAGCAAUGCAAGAAAGGAUUAAUACAUACUCCCAACUCAUCUGUUUAAUA
rnacentral:lncRNA from 1 species